GGAUAAAAUAGGUAUCUAGAUUAUUGAGUCGAAUUAGGCCAAUACGAAUGGGCCUUGAGCUAGGGUUCAACAAAUCCUCCAAGAUCCAUUUAGAGUUUCCACCUUUGAUAUCCAGUGAUCGCAUACCCAUUUCGGUUUCUGAAACUUGAAGAAUCGCAGAAGACGAGAGAGGAUUUUUGGUAUAUAGUAGAGGAUGUUCAAUCGAAGGAGGUUCCUCUCGCUUCCCAUGGUUAUCGGAGCUGUCGUGAUUGGCAUCGUCUCUGGAAAAGCCAUCUUUGGACCUCCGGUGGAUGAGUACUGGAAGAAAAAGCUCGACCAAGAGGCUGCAGCAGCAGCAGCAGCAGCAGCUGCCAAAGACACCGAUUCACCCUCCUCAUCUUAAACUCAUUUUAAACCCAAUACACCGAGUUACAAGCUGCUUCAACUCGCACAAAUCAAAUUGAAGCUCGUCAAAUGUCUGAUGUGGUGCAUGUGAGCUCAUAUCCACACAAACUUUUGGAACCAUAAAUAGCCUCUACAAAGAACUUGUUGUCUCUACUGACUGCUAAAUUGUAUUCAUUAUUCUUUUCGAGCAUUCUCCGGGUUCAUGAAGCAUCAAAGUUGUAACUUGACCUUUAUUGAUAAAUUUCAGUUUGGUUCGAUGCCUGAAA